rnacentral:rRNA from 1 species
AUCAGGUAGGGAUACCCGCUGAACUUAAGCAUAUCAAUAAGCGGAGGAAAAGAAACCAACAGGGAUUACCUCAGUAACGGCGAGUGAAGCGGUAAGAGCUCAAAUUUGAAAGCUGGCUCCUUCGGGGUCCGCAUUGUAAUUUGCAGAGGAUGUUUCGGGAGCAGCCCCCAUCUAAGUGUCCUGGAACGGACCGUCAUAGAGGGUGAGAAUCCCGUAUGGGAUGGGGUGUCUGCGCCCAUGUGAAACUCCUUCGACGAGUCGAGUUGUUUGGGAAUGCAGCUCUAAAUGGGUGGUAAAUUUCAUCUAAAGCUAAAUAUUGGCCGGAGACCGAUAGCGCACAAGUAGAGUGAUCGAAAGAUGAAAAGCACUUUGAAAAGAGAGUUAAAAAGCACGUGAAAUUGUUGAAAGGGAAGCGCUUGCGAUCAGACUCGCCUUGGGGGUUCAGCCGGCAUUCGUGCCGGUGUACUUCCCCCAGGGCGGGCCAGCGUCGGUUUGGGUGGCUGGUCAAAGGCCCUUGGAAUGUAACGCCUCUCGGGGCGUCUUAUAGCCAAGGGUGCCAUGCAGCCUACCUGGACCGAGGAACGCGCUUCGGCUCGGACGCUGGCAUAAUGGUCGUAAGCGACC